GACGAACGCUGGCGGCGUGCUUAAUACAUGCAAGUCGAACGGAAAGGCCCUGCUUUUGUGGGGUGCUCGAGUGGCGAACGGGUGAGUAACACGCGAGUAAACUGCCCUUGACUUUGGGAUAAAUUAAGGAAACUGGGGCUAAUAACGGAUAGGAGCUACUGCUGCAUGGAGGGGGUUGGAAAGUUUCGGCGGUUGGGGAUGGACUCGCGGCUUAUCAGCUUGUUGGUGGGGUAGUGGCUUACCAAGGCUUUGACGGGUAGCCGGCCUGAGAGGGUGACCGGCCACCUUGGGACUGCGAUACGGCCCAGACUCCUACGUGAGGCAGCAGUGGGGAAUAUUGCACAGUGGGCGGACGCCUGAUGCAGCAACGCCGCGUUCGUGAUGCCGGCCUUCGGGUUGUAAACCGCUUUCUCCUGUGACGAAGCGUGAGUGACGGUAAUUGGUAAAGAAGCACCGGCUAACUACGUG
rnacentral:rRNA from 1 species